rnacentral:rRNA from 1 species
AUGUGGAGGACGAUAGGGGGUAUGCUGGGAACGGACCUUUGUCCGAACAAUAUUUGGCAGUACUUUUCAUGGUGCUAUAGCUUCCUUCCAGAUGGGGAGAUAUUCUAUACCUUUGGCUUAGCCGCUCUCUGUUGGGCUGCAUGGAAUUGUCGUAACAGAACCACCUUUGAGUUCAAAAAGAUGAGAUCUCCAUUUGAUGUAAUAUAUGUUGCUUGUGGCUUUAUUACAUAUUGGGCAGGUCUGCUGAUGGGAGAAGACCGUGAAGCAAUGGAGAGGGGAGCCAAGAUGCUGAGAGGCAAUGCUGCGAACAUGAUGCGCAUCUGCGCGGCCCCGGGAGGGGUCAACUGA